CCUACGGGAGGCAGCAGUGGGGAAUAUUGGUCAAUGGGCGCAAGCCUGACCCAGCAACGCCGCGUGAAGGAAGAAGGCUCUCGGGUUGUAAACUUCUUUUAUCAGGGACGAAGCAAGUGACGGUACCUGAUGAAUAAGCCAUGGCUAACUACGUGCCAGCAGCCGCGGUAAUACGUAGGUGGCCAGCGUUAUCCGGAUUUACUGGGUGUAAAGGGCGUGUAGGCGGGAAAGCAAGUCAGAUGUGAAAACCAUGGGCUCAAACUUUGGCCUGGAGUUGAAACUGUUUUUCUUGAGUACUGGAGAGGCAGACGGAAUUCGUAGUGUAGCGGUGAAAGGCGUAGAUAUUAGGAGGAACACCAGUGGCGAAGGCGGUCUGCUGGACAGCAACUGACGCUGAGGCGCGAAAGCGUGGGGAUCAAACAGGAUUAGAUACCCUUGUAGUC
rnacentral:rRNA from 1 species